UUGGUUUUUAAAAAAUUUUAUUUAUGGAUGCAAAUAUUGAUGCAGAUUAUGAAAGAUUUAAUAAAAAGGUGAUAAAGUUUCAAACAGCAAAAUCAAAUUAUUUAAAUUCAUUUAAUACAUAUGCUUGUUCUGAAAAUAUACGCAUGCCAUUAGCCAAAAAUAUAUUUCCAAUAUUACCUACUUUGCCUACAUUCUACCCACAAUUAUCACUUGAAUCUAUAAUAGAUCAAUUUUCAAAAUGUUUAAAACCAAAAUUAGAUUAUUUUAUAUGUAAAAUUACUGAAAUCUCAUUUAAAGGAGUUAAUUGUCAGAUAUUUUUUCAAAUCGGUCCUUAUGUUUUUUCAGAUGUUUCUAUGUUUUCUAUUAAAGCUAUAUGUCCCAUUGACUUUAUCCCAAAAGAUGAUUUGAAAAAAAUUCAGAAAUUACCAACUGAUGGUUCAAAUUUAGUAAAAGUCAUUCUUAAAGAGAUUAUUUAUAUCCCAGUUAAUGAAAAUGACAAAAAUGUGGAAGAGUCAACUAAAUAUCAGCCAAUUUUUAUUAUGUCUAUGUUGUUGAAUGAUGUUCACUCUGAUCCCACUCAAAUUUUAUACUAUAGCAAAAAGAUUAAAGAUGAAAGCAACAUUGGUUAUCAUUUUCUAGGCCCAAUGACCAAUUCUGAAAUCAACUUUUACUACAACUUAUUCGAGACCAACGAACAUGAGAUAAAUCUAAAAUCAAAGCGCUUUCAUUUCGACAGGCAAAUCGUUGAAAGGGGUGACCAAAAUAGCGCGACAGAAUCGUCGGAAUCAAAAGAUCAGGAGAAUUCACCGUCGAAAGGACAAAAUGUUGUCGAAGAUACGGGCGAUUCGCGGAUGGAAGGGGAUGCAAAAUCUUACAAGGAACUUUUGGAGAAUCACCCGUCGUUUUCCAAUUUGAAUUGUCUGAGGAAUAUGAUCCAAUUAGUAACCAAUCAGCUCGGUGCCAGGCACUUCAACGUUUACAAUAAUCAUCUAACCUUCUUCGAUUCCUUUAAUAAGAUAUCCAUACCGGAAGAUUGUCAAAAUUUUAGCGCCAUUUUGAAGCAAAGACAAGCAAAGUCUUGGGCAUUAGAAAUCCUUAAAAAGGGUAUCGAAUGCUUCAAUCAAUCUAGCAAUCUAGAAGCUAAUCAAUGCUACAACAAGGCGCUCUCCAUAGACCCCUCAAACGUAGACGCGCUAGUGGCCAAAGGAGCACUAUACGCCAGUGUGCCUAAUCCAUGUCUGGAUAAGGCCAUCUCCUUUUUCGAUCAAGCGCUCCAUAACGAACCGAAUCAUAAAAACGCGAAACAAUACUUGGUACAAACAUUGCUGACGCGCGGAAAAAUGUUGGAAAAAGAGUACGUGGACAAUGACGUCAUCCCAUCGCCGUCCAAUAAAAAGUGCCGAUACAAAGACGCUCCGAAACGGGUCCACCAAGAUUCGGUCGACGAUGAAACCGAUGAGGUUGACCCAUUCCGUUUUUUGGAUUAUUACGAGAAGGCUUUUUGUCAUUUAAACGCGGAAAGCGUUGGCGAAUCGGAACAAGGAAGCCUGGAAUGGCUCCGACUAAAGCUCAAAUCCUAUAGCCAUCUCCGUGCCCGUGCUACGAAGAGGAAUGAGGGCCCCGAAGGAAAUGAGAAGGGUAAACUUAAUCGAAGUCAAUCAUCCGCAUCUUCCGACACUUCGAGUCAAUCUUCCUCGUCGGACAGUUCACAUUCUAGCAGCGAUGGUUCAACCAGUAAUUCGAAUAACGUUUCAUAUGCCGUCGAGAAAAAUAAAAUAACUGAGAGACAUUUAGACAAUGGGCCACGGGCAAGCGAGCGAAAAAUUAAAUUAGACAGCUAUUCGGAUAUAUCCUCCAGCUCAAGCUUUGACGAACCUUCUACAAUACCAGAACGCGGGUCUAAAUCUAAAGAGGAUGAUGGUAAAAAGUUGACAGAAACGGAUCCGUCUAAAAAGAAAGGAAAAUAUAUACUAAAAAUUUCCUUCUCCAUCUGACGAUAGCGACCCGUUUAAACUUACGCCAGACGAUUCUGAGAAACAAUUAAUCUCGACCGAUAAGACUUCCCUACCCACGGACAUCGCCAUUAGUCGAGCGAAUAAAAUUAAGGAUGAUAUCAAAAACAAGAUUACCUUGCAAGACAUGGAAAAAUUUCUAUUACAUCUCAAGCAAAACGCCAAGAAAAAAUUAUGAUUAUAUUUUGAAAUAAAUAUAAUUAUUUCAAAAUAAAACGGGCAUAAUCUCGUGA